ACUUGAGUGAUAUGAGACUCUGGAUGCUUUCAGCUGAUUUCUGUUGAACUGUCAGCAACUGAACUGCAGCUCAAACUAUUUCAAAUAUAGUGAAUUAAGUUACAAACUCCAUAAUAAUGCACAGUGUUUCCAUCUGACAUGUAUUUUGAGCUGCAGCUCGUCGUAUUAAUGGAGUGUUUCACUAGUUAGCAGUAAACCGGUUACCUCACCUGAAUAUGUUCGAAGUAUGUAAUCUUUGGAGUGGAAAUAUGGAUAUUUUAUUUAUCAUACUUGUUUCGCUUAAUUCAGUUAAUGUCUUAAAACUAGUGAGCUAAGCCAGUAGUAGUGCUAACAGUGUCAUGUAAACAUGACUGAAGACGUGAAGAGACGAACAGACAAACCGAUUCAAUGAGUGAGUCAUUUACACGUCAAAUCGAUUCAAUGAGUGAGUCAUUUACGCGUCAAAUCGAUUCAAUAAGUGAGUCAUUUACGCGUCAAACCGAUUCAAUGAGUGAGUCAUUUACGCGUCAAACCGAUUCAAUGAGUGAGUCAUUUACGCGUCAAACCGAUUCAAUGAGUGAGUCAUUUACGCGUCAAACAGAUUCAAUGAAUGAGUCAUUUACGCGUCAAACCGAUUCAAUUACUGAGUCAUUUACGCGUCAAACCGAUUCAAUGACUGAGUCAUUUACGCCUCAAACCGAUUCAAUGAGUGAGUCAUUUACGCGUCAAACCAAUUCAAUGAAUGAGUCAUUUACGCCUCAAACCGAUUCAAUGACUGAGCCAUUCAUUUUCGAAUCAUUGGAUUUAGAUUGGAACUUCACAUAUCGCGAAUCAUUUGAUUCACAUCGGGACUUCAGGAUGUGUCCUACAAUCUGUACCCGACCCGAAUCGACACGAACCGAACGUGCAUAAAUUGUUUUAUAAAGCGGAUAGUUCAGUCCUUGAUUCUGAUUGACAUGCACUUCUUUGUUUACUUCUGUGUUUUGCUCGGCAACCCCUCUGUCACAACCACAACCGUUUCUGAGGAACUACAUUGUUUAGCGGAAGAAUAAUGUUUUUAUUAAUAUCAUUACAUUUUAUUUGCUUUGUUUAAUUUUGUGCAGUCUUGCUCGUAUAUGGAAUAACCGGUCCGUGUCGUGCCUAACAACGACCCUUAGCUGUUAUAAAUUCACUGUAAAUAAUUACAAAUUAAUAAUAAAUAAAUAAAAAUGAUAAGAAUUUAACUAAAU
ensembl:lncRNA